rnacentral:rRNA from 1 species
GACGAACGCUGGCGGCGUGCCUAAUACAUGCAAGUAGGACGCAGUUGCGAACGGGUGAGUAACGCGUAGGUAACUGCCUAUUAGAGGGGGAUAACUAUUGGAAACGAUAGCUAAUACCGCAUACUAGUAGAUGGAUCUGCGUUGUAUUAGCUAGUAGGUAGGGUAAUGGCCUACCUAGGCGACGAGACAUAGACGACCGGGGAGGGGUAUCGGCCACACGGGUAAUGAGACACGGCCCAGGCUCCCACGGGAGGCAGCAGUAGGGUAUGUUCGGCAAUGGGGGGAACCCUGACCGAGCAAAGCCGGGUGAGUGAAGAAGGUUUUCGGAUCGUAAAGCUCUGUUGUUAAGGAAGCGGUACUUAACCAGAAAGGGACGGCUAACUACGUGCCAGCAGCCGCGGUAAUAC